AGGAGGGUGCAGAAGGCCGGUCACCUGCUCCCCCGCACCCCAGGCUCUUCACAAGGCAAAAGGCGCGGGUGGGAGGCCCACGGGAGCGGCACGAGCCCAACCCCACGCCCGGGGCCUCCGCAGGCGCACCUCCACUCCAGCAAGUGACCCAGACUCACGCCGACCCACCGCCGGGCUCCCGCCAGCUUUCAAGGGGAGCGUGCUCCCCGGGGCCCGCCUCUCACUUCCGCACCGGGAGCCCCGGCUCUCGCUAGAUCUCGCGCGAGCGCGAGCCGACCCGCCCUCCGGAGUCAACCGGGGUCACCGCGCCUGGGCUGGAUCCCGGGGUCGCGGGCUUCUUCCCCGGCUGCUUUGUGUGAGCGCGAACAAGGUUACCAGAGCCAUCGGUCCAUUUCAAAGUACAGCCAGCCCUAAAGAUGCACAUCAGGAGGCAAGGGACGAGUUACGUAUUAGUGUCACUGAAAAUGACGUACAGAAGCGCAUACAAAUCUUCGCCAUGUCUGUUACAAAAUGAACACAGAUUUACAAGAUACCACCACCACCACCACCCGUGUGUCCUGCCCAGGGGAGUCCCCUUUCAUGUGGACAGGACUGCUGCCCGGUCCUACCCACUUCAGUAUCACCUUCUGCCUCUCUGAGACUGUCCUCUGUUCUCCUGCCCCAGAGUUCACCUCUCCCUUGGAGGUGAGAAAGCCUUUAAACAUCUUAUUCUCUGCUCAUCUACUGGGGAUGUACUAACGAUAGCAUGGCCAUACCCAGUCUCAUGGGAUCCCAAGUAAGGUUCCUCCAUCUGCU